rnacentral:rRNA from 1 species
GGUUAAGUCAGGCAACGAGCGAGACCCGCGUCCUCUGUUGCAACUAGCUUUGUGCUGGGCACACUGAGGAGACCGCCACUGAUAAAGUGGAGGAAGGAGCGGGCCACGGCAGGUCAGUAUGCCCCGAAUCUCCCGGGCCACACGCGAGCUGCAAUGGCAGAUACAAUAGGUUCCGACCUCGAAAGGGGAAGGCAAUCUCGAAAGCCUGCCGUAGUUGGGAUCGAGGGCUGAAACCCGCCCUCGUGAACAUGGAAUCCCUAGUAAUCGCGUGUCAUUAGCGCGCGGUGAAUACGUCCCUGCUCCUUG